rnacentral:rRNA from 1 species
GAUGAACGCUGGCGGCGUGCCUAAUACAUGCCAGUCGAGCGAACAGACGAGGAGCUUGCUCCUCUGACGUUAGCGGCGGACGGGUGAGUAACACGUGGAUAACCUACCUAUAAGACUGGGAUAACUUCGGGAAACCGGAGCUAAUACCGGAUAACAUGUUGAACCGCAUGGUUCAACAGUGAAAGACGGUCUUGCUGUCACUUAUAGAUGGAUCCGCGCCGCAUUAGCUAGUUGGUAAGGUAACGGCUUACCAAGGCAACGAUGCGUAGCUGACCUGAGAGGGUGAUCGGCCACACUGGAACUGAGACACGGUCCAGACUCCUACGGGAGGCAGCAGUAGGGAAUCUUCCGCAAUGGGCGAAAGCCUGACGGAGCAACGCCGCGUGAGUGAAGAAGGUCUUCGGAUCGUAAAACUCUGUUAUUAGGGAAGAACAAAUGUGUAAGUAACUAUGCACGUCUUGACGGUACCUAAUCAGAAAGCCACGGCUAACUACGUG